rnacentral:rRNA from 1 species
CUGUAGAGAUACGGGGGUGCCUUCGGGAACUGUGAGACAGGUGCUGCAUGGCUGUCGUCAGCUCGUGUUGUGAAAUGUUGGGUUAAGUCCCGCAACGAGCGCAACCCUUAUCCUUUGUUGCCAGCGGUCCGGCCGGGAACUCAAAGGAGACUGCCAGUGAUAAACUGGAGGAAGGUGGGGAUGACGUCAAGUCAUCAUGGCCCUUACGACCAGGGCUACACACGUGCUACAAUGGCGCAUACAAAGAGAAGCGACCUCGCGAGAGCAAGCGGACCUCAUAAAGUGCGUCGUAGUCCGGAUUGGAGUCUGCAACUCGACUCCAUGAAGUCGGAAUCGCUAGUAAUCGUGGAUCAGAAUGCCACGGUGAAUACGUUCCCGGGCCUUGUACACACCGCCCGUCACACCAUGGGAGUGGGUUGCAAAAGAAGUAGGUAGCUUAACCUUCGGGAGGGCGCUUACCACUUUGUGAUUCAUGACUGGGGUGAAGUCGUAACAAGGUAACCGUAGGGGAACCUGCGGUUGGAUCAC